UCUUCGGUGGUGCAGUGGUAACGUUCUUGCAUAUAAGUAUUUCCCCCAGGUUCGAAUCCUAGUUGGUGAA